AUCCGCUUCCUCAAUUCUGGAUGUCGGACAUUCCGGAUGCAAUGAGACCACUGGGUUAUUUUGGGAACCACUUUUAAUGGUCACUUGCCCUCCAUUUAAAGGAAAAGAGGCCUCAGCAAGGCUCCAUACCCAAUGUGAGACUUGAACCCACAACUCUGAGAUAGAGAAUCACAAGUGGCCCUGGCUGUGAUAUUUUCAAGUAUCUCCAAUUACAAAGACAUUAAAGAUCUUGUAAUCUCUGCGACCUCAAGAUCAAGAGUCAUAUGCCCUACCAACUAAGCCAGCCUCAAUAGUAAUUGCCUCAAUAAUAAUUGCCUUUAGAAAGACUUGCUGAAUGGGAAGAAAAACUUUCACUUUUUAUUGUGUACCUUUUUGUACUGCUUGAGUUUUCUGUCCAUGUAAAUGUACUACUUUAUUUUCUUCAGAAACAUCAACCUUGUAUUUCCUAGGUGAGAAACUUAUGGACAAGUUUUGCUUUCCUUCUUUGU